CGCCGGGGCGGCAGGCUACACAUGCAGUCGAGCGGCAGCGGGGAGUAGCUUGCUACUUUGCCGGCGAGCGGCGGACGGGUGAGUAAUGCUUGGGAACUUGCCUUUAGGAGGGGGAUAACCACGGGAAACUGUGGCUAAUACCGCAUAAUGUCUACGGACCAAAGCAGGGGAUCUUCGGACCUUGCACCUAGAGAUAGGCCCAAGUGAGAUUAGCUAGUUGGUGGGGUAAAGGCCCACCAAGGCGACGAUCUCUAGCUGUUCUGAGAGGAUGAUCAGCCACACUGGGACUGAGACACGGCCCAGACUCCUACGGGAGGCAGCAGUGGGGAAUAUUGCACAAUGGGGGAAACCCUGAUGCAGCCAUGCCGCGUGUGUGAAGAAGGCCUUCGGGUUGUAAAGCACUUUCAGUGGUGAGGAAGGAUGUAAGAUUAAUACUCUUGCAUAUUGACGUUAGCCACAGAAGAAGCACCGGCUAACUCCGUGCCAGCAGCCGCGGUAAU
rnacentral:rRNA from 1 species